UACGUAGGGUCCAAGCGUUGUCCGGAUUUAUUGGGCGUAAAGAGCUCGUAGGCGGUUCCGUAAGUCGGAUGUGAAAACUCGGGCUCAACCCGAGACGCCAUCCGAUACUGCGGUGACUUGAGUCUGGUAGGGAACACGGAAUUCCUGGUGUAGCGGUGAAAUUCGUAGAUAUUCGGAAGAACACCAGUGGCGAAGGCGGCUCACUGGACUGGUAUUGACGCUGAGGUGCGAAAGCGUGGGGAGCAACAGG
rnacentral:rRNA from 1 species